rnacentral:rRNA from 1 species
ACGUAGGUGGCGAACGUUGUCCGGAUUUACUGGGCGUAAAGCGCGCGCAGGCGGACCGAUAAGUCAGAGGUGAAAUCUCCCGGCUCAACUGGGAGGGGCCCUUUGAUACUGUCGGUCUUGAGAUGCCUAGAGGAGAGUGGAAUUCCCGGUGUAGUGGUGGAAUGCGUAGAUAUCGGGAGGAACACCAGUGGCGAAAGCGGCUCUCUGGGGGCGAUCUGACGCUGAGGCGCGAAAGCGUGGGGAGCAAACCGGAUUAGAUACCCGGGUAGUCCACGCCGUAAACGAUGAGUACUAGCUGUAUGGGGUAUCGACUCCCUGUGUAGCGAAGCUAACGCGAUAAGUACUCCGCCUGGGGACUACGACCGCAAGGUUA